ACUCAAAGGAAUUGACGGGGGCCCGCACAAGCAGUGGAGUAUGUGGUUUAAUUCGAAGCAACGCGAAGAACCUUACCAGGGCUUGACAUGCAGACGGAUAACGUAGAGAUAUGUUAGUCUUUCGGGACGUCUGCACAGGUGGUGCAUGGUUGUCGUCAGCUCGUGUCGUGAGAUGUUGGGUUAAGUCCCGCAACGAGCGCAACCCCUGUUGUUAGUUGCCAGCAUGAAAGAUGGGCACUCUAACGAGACUGCCGGUGACAAAUCGGAGGAAGGUGGGGACGACGUCAAAUCAUCAUGCCCCUUAUGUUCUGGGCUACACACGUACUACAAUGGCUACAACAACGGGGAGCGAAGGAGCAAUCCGGAGCGAAUCCUCAAAAGUAGUCCCAGUUCGGAUUGUGGGCUGCAACCCGCCCACAUGAAGUCGGAAUUGCUAGUAAUGGCAGGUCAGCAUACUGCCGUGAAUACGUUCCCGGGCCUUGUACACACCGCCCGU
rnacentral:rRNA from 1 species